UACAGAGGUCUCAAGCGUUGUUCGGAUUCAUUGGGCGUAAAGGGUGCGUAGGUGGCGGGGUAAGUCAGGUGUGAAAUCUCGGGGCUCAACCCCGAAACUGCACUUGAUACUGCCUUGCUUGAGUACUGGAGAGGAGAUUGGAAUUUACGGUGUAGCAGUGAAAUGCGUAGAUAUCGUAAGGAAGACCAGUGGCGAAGGCGAGUCUCUGGACAGUUACUGACGCUGAGGCACGAAGGCCAGGGGGAGCAAACGGGG
rnacentral:rRNA from 1 species